UACGUAGGGGGCUAGCGUUGUCCGGAAUCAUUGGGCGUAAAGCGCGCGUAGGCGGCCCGGUAAGUCCGUUGUGAAAGUCAAAGGCUCAACCUUUGAAAGCCGAUGGAUACUGCCGGGCUGGAGUCCGGAAGAGGCGAGUGGAAUUCCUGGUGUAGCGGUGAAAUGCGCAGAUAUCAGGAGGAACACCUAUUGCGAAGGCAGCUCGCUGGGACGUUACUGACGCUGAGACGCGAAAGCGUGGGGAGCAAACAGG
rnacentral:rRNA from 1 species